GGGUUGUGAGGUUAAGCGACUAAGCGUACACGGUGGAUGCCCUGGCAGUCAGAGGCGAUGAAGGACGUGCUAAUCUGCGAAAAGCGCCGGCGAGGUGAUAUGAACCUUUGACCCGGCGAUGUCCGAAUGGGGAAACCCAGUGUGUUCCGACACACUAUCGUUAACUGAAUACAUAGGUUAACGAGGCGAACCGGGGGAACUGAAACAUCUAAGUACCCCGAGGAAAAGAAAUCAACCGAGAUUCCCCCAGUAGCGGCGAGCGAACGGGGAGCAGCCCGGAGUCUGAAUCAGCUUGUGUGUUAGUGGAACGGUCUGGAAAGUCCGACGGUACAGGGUGAUAGUCCCGUACACGAAAAUGCACAUGCUGUGAACUCGAAGAGUAGGGCGGGACACGUGGUAUCCUGUCUGAAUAUGGGGGGACCAUCCUCCAAGGCUAAAUACUCCUGACUGACCGAUAGUGAACCAGUACCGUGAGGGAAAGGCGAAAAGAACCCCGGCGAGGGGAGUGAAAAAGAACCUGAAACCGUGUACGUACAAGCAGUGGGAGCACCUUCGGGUGUGACUGCGUACCUUUUGUAUAAUGGGUCAGCGACUUAUAUUCUGUAGCAAGGUUAACCGUAUAGGGGAGCCGAAGGGAAACCGAGUCUUAACUGGGCGUUAAGUUGCAGGGUAUAGACCCGAAACCCGGUGAUCUAGCCAUGGGCAGGUUGAAGGUUGGGUAACACUAACUGGAGGACCGAACCGACUAAUGUUGAAAAAUUAGCGGAUGACCUGUGGCUGGGGGUGAAAGGCCAAUCAAACCGGGAGAUAGCUGGUUCUCCCCGAAAGCUAUUUAGGUAGCGCCUCGUGAACUCAUCUUCGGGGGUAGAGCACUGUUUCGGCUAGGGGGCCAUCCCGGCUUACCAACCCGAUGCAAACUACGAAUACCGAAGAAUGUUAUCACGGGAGACACACGGCGGGUGCUAACGUCCGUCGUGAAGAGGGAAACAACCCAGACCGCCAGCUAAGGUCCCAAAGUCAUGGUUAAGUGGGAAACGAUGUGGGAAGGCACAGACAGCCAGGAUGUUGGCUUAGAAGCAGCCAUCAUUUAAAGAAAGCGUAAUAGCUCACUGGUCGAGUCGGCCUGCGCGGAAGAUGUAACGGGGCUAAACCAUGCACCGAAGCUGCGGCAGCGACGCUUAUGCGUUGUUGGGUAGGGGAGCGUUCUGUAAGCCGUUGAAGGUGUGCUGUGAGGCAUGCUGGAGGUAUCAGAAGUGCGAAUGCUGACAUAAGUAACGAUAAAGCGGGUGAAAAGCCCGCUCGCCGGAAGACCAAGGGUUCCUGUCCAACGUUAAUCGGGGCAGGGUGAGUCGACCCCUAAGGCGAGGCCGAAAGGCGUAGUCGAUGGGAAACAGGUUAAUAUUCCUGUACUUGGUGUUACUGCGAAGGGGGGACGGAGAAGGCUAUGUCAGCCGGGCGACGGUUGUCCCGGUUUAAGCAUGUAGGCGGAGGUUCCAGGUAAAUCCGGUACCUUAUUAACGCUGAGGUGUGAUGACGAGGCACUACGGUGCUGAAGUGAUAAAUGCCCUGCUUCCAGGAAAAGCCUCUAAGCAUCAGGUAACACGAAAUCGUACCCCAAACCGACACAGGUGGUCAGGUAGAGAAUACCAAGGCGCUUGAGAGAACUCGGGUGAAGGAACUAGGCAAAAUGGUGCCGUAACUUCGGGAGAAGGCACGCUGAUAUGUAGGUGAAGCCCCUGCGGGCGGAGCUGAAAUCAGUCGAAGAUACCAGCUGGCUGCAACUGUUUAUUAAAAACACAGCACUGUGCAAACACGAAAGUGGACGUAUACGGUGUGACGCCUGCCCGGUGCCGGAAGGUUAAUUGAUGGGGUUAGCGGCAACGCGAAGCUCUUGAUCGAAGCCCCGGUAAACGGCGGCCGUAACUAUAACGGUCCUAAGGUAGCGAAAUUCCUUGUCGGGUAAGUUCCGACCUGCACGAAUGGCGUAAUGAUGGCCAGGCUGUCUCCACCCGAGACUCAGUGAAAUUGAACUCGCUGUGAAGAUGCAGUGUACCCGCGGCAAGACGGAAAGACCCCGUGAACCUUUACUAUAGCUUGACACUGAACACUGGUCCUUGAUGUGUAGGAUAGGUGGGAGGCUUUGAAGCGUGGACGCCAGUCUGCGUGGAGCCGCCCUUGAAAUACCACCCUUUAAUGGCUGGUGUUCUAACGUAGACCCGUGAUCCGGGUUGCGGACAGUGUCUGGUGGGUAGUUUGACUGGGGCGGUCUCCUCCCAAAGAGUAACGGAGGAGCACGAAGGUUGGCUAAUCCUGGUCGGACAUCAGGAGGUUAGUGCAAUGGCAUAAGCCAGCUUGACUGCGAGCGUGACGGCGCGAGCAGGUGCGAAAGCAGGUCAUAGUGAUCCGGUGGUUCUGAAUGGAAGGGCCAUCGCUCAACGGAUAAAAGGUACUCCGGGGAUAACAGGCUGAUACCGCCCAAGAGUUCAUAUCGACGGCGGUGUUUGGCACCUCGAUGUCGGCUCAUCACAUCCUGGGGCUGAAGUAGGUCCCAAGGGUAUGGCUGUUCGCCAUUUAAAGUGGUACGCGAGCUGGGUUUAGAACGUCGUGAGACAGUUCGGUCCCUAUCUGCCGUGGGCGCUGGAGAAUUGAGGGGGGCUGCUCCUAGUACGAGAGGACCGGAGUGGACGCAUCACUGGUGUUCGGGUUGUCAUGCCAAUGGCACUGCCCGGUAGCUAAAUGCGGAAGAGAUAAGUGCUGAAAGCAUCUAAGCACGAAACUUGCCCCGAGAUGAGUUCUCCCUGAGAC
rnacentral:rRNA from 2 species